GACGAACGCUGGCGGCGUGCUUAACACAUGCAAGUCGAACGGAAAGGCUCCAGCUUGCUGGAGUACUCGAGUGGCGAACGGGUGAGUAACACGUGGGUGAUCUGCCCUGCACUUCGGGAUAAGCCUGGGAAACUGGGUCUAAUACCGGAUAGGACCGCACUUUGGUGUGUGUGGUGGAAAGGUUUUUCUGGUGUGGGAUGAGCUCGCGGCCUAUCAGUUUGUUGGUGGGGUAAUGGCCUACCAAGACGGCGACGGGUAGCCGGCCUGAGAGGGUGGACGGUAACAUUGGGACUGAGAUACGGCCCAGACUCCUACGGGAGGCAGCAGUGGGGAAUAUUGCACAAUGGGGGAAACCCUGAUGCAGCGACGCCGCGUGGGGGAUGAAGGCCUUCGGGUUGUAAACUCCUUUCGCUAGGGACGAAGCUUUUUGUGACGGUACCUGGAGAAGAAGCACCGGCUAACUACGUG
rnacentral:rRNA from 1 species